UAUCAACUCAUGCAUACAAUGCUCAAUCUCCAUUGUUCUACCCUUUUCCCAAACAUACAAGUUACACAAUCACUUCCCAAUGUCAAACCCAACUCACAUCUCUCACCAAAAGAUCCCAAGAACACUUUGCACAUAAAACUCUUUUUCUUUGAAAUCUAUAACGGUUUUUUCUCAACUUCAAAACAAUCUUAGCUCCUAACAACUUUGCUAGCCCAAUUUUCUUUCUUUUUCUUCUUUUUUCUAUUAUUAUUAUUUUUUUCUUUUUUUCUUUCUUUCUUUUCUUAUAUUUUUCUUCUUUUUUUUUCCGGGGGC
rnacentral:lncRNA from 1 species